rnacentral:rRNA from 1 species
CUACGGGGUGCAGCAGUGGGGAAUAUUGCACAAUGGGCGCAAGCCUGAUGCAGCCAUGCCGCGUGUAUGAAGAAGGCCUUCGGGUUGUAAAGUACUUUCAGCGGGGAGGAAGGGAGUAAAGUUAAUACCUUUGCUCAUUGACGUUACCCGCAGAAGAAGCACCGGCUAACUCCGUGCCAGCAGCCGCGGUAAUACGGAGGGUGCAAGCGUUAAUCGCAAUUACUGGGCGUAAAGCGCACGCAGGCGGGUUGUUAAGUCAGAUGUGAAAUCCCCGGGCUCAACCUGGGAACUGCAUCUGAUACUGGCAAGCUUGAGUCUCGUAGAGGGGGGUAGAAUUCCAGGUGUAGCGGUGAAAUGCGUAGAGGUCUGGAGGAAUACCGGUGGCGAAGGCGGCCCCCUGGACGAAGACUGACGCUCAGGUGCGAAAGCGUGGGGAGCAAACAGGAUUAGAUACCCGUGUAGUC